rnacentral:misc_RNA from 1 species
GAAAUGCGAUACGUCAUGCGAAUUGCAAAACCAGUGAGUCAUCAAAACUUUGAACGCAACUUGCACUUCCCUUUGGGGAGUAUGUCUGUUGGAGUGCUUGUUCAUCCCCACCACAAACCCCACUUCCUAAUAAGAAGUAGGAUUCGUGAAGCCCGCCUCUUAUAUUUUUAUAAUAUAAUAGAGCGUAGAUGAAUCAAAAUCAAAUAUCCGAUCCUAGUAGUUGUAAUCAGUUAGUUAUCCCUAACCGGAUAAUUAAUACGACUCGGGAACGCGACGUCAUAGUGUAAUAACUUGAAUCGUGUUUCUAUUGUCCGAAUGAUUCAUAAGUAUUAGUUCUUUCGACAUAUUUUUCGAUCGAGCCUCCAAUCAGUCAAGAAUACCCGCUGAAUUUAA